UUCAGAUGCGUGCAGGGUGAUGUGUGGU
rnacentral:piRNA from 1 species